rnacentral:misc_RNA from 1 species
AACCAUAGAAACCUGCGGAGUACCUGCGGAAGGAUCAUUAAAAAAAGAAUCGAAAGAUUCUAUUUUUUAAGAGCUUUACUACUACUACUUGUAGGAGUAGAGCUUUUUCCACACUCUGUGAUAUUAAAAUCGUCUUUUGACAAUAUCUAUAAAUAAUAAUAAACAAAACUUUUAACAACGGAUCU